UACAGAGGUCCCAAGCGUUGUUCGGAUUCACUGGGCGUAAAGGGUGCGUAGGCGGUCGGGUAAGUCUGAUGUGAAAUCUCACAGCUUAACUGUGAAACUGCAUUGGAUACUAUCCGGCUCGAGGAAUGGAGGGGAGACUGGAAUACUUGGUGUAGCAGUGAAAUGCGUAGAUAUCAAGUGGAACACCAGUGGCGAAGGCGAGUCUCUGGACAUUUCCUGACGCUGAGGCACGAAAGCCAGGGGAGCAAUCGGG
rnacentral:rRNA from 1 species